UGGGGAAUCUUGGACAAUGGGCGCAAGCCUGACCGAGCCAUGCCGCGUGAACGAUGAAGGCCUUAGGGUUGUAAAGUUCUUUCGCCUGGGAAGAUAAUGACGGUACCAGGUAAAGAAACCCCGGCUAACUCCGUGCCAGCAGCCGCAGUAAUACGGAGGGGGUUAGCGUUGUUCGGAAUUACUGGGCGUAAAGCGCGCGUAGGCGGAUCGGAAAGUUGGGGGUGAAAUCCCAGGGCUCAACCCUGGAACUGCCCUCAAAACUGUCGGUCUGGAGGUCGAGAGAGGUGAGUGGAAUUCCGAGUGUAGAGGUGAAAUUCGUAGAUAUUCGGAGGAACACCAGUGGCGAAGGCGGCUCACUGGCUCGAUACUGACGCUGAGGUGCGAAAGCGUGGGGAGCAAACAGGAUUAGAUACCCCGGUAGUCC
rnacentral:rRNA from 1 species